AUUGAACGCUGGCGGCAUGCCUUACACAUGCAAGUCGAACGGCAGCACGGGUGCUUGCACCUGGUGGCGAGUGGCGAACGGGUGAGUAAUACAUCGGAACAUGUCCUGUAGUGGGGGAUAGCCCGGCGAAAGCCGGAUUAAUACCGCAUACGAUCUACGGAUGAAAGCGGGGGACCUUCGGGCCUCGCGCUAUAGGGUUGGCCGAUGGCUGAUUAGCUAGUUGGUGGGGUAAAGGCCUACCAAGGCGACGAUCAGUAGCUGGUCUGAGAGGACGACCAGCCACACUGGGACUUAGACACGGCCCAGACUCCUACGGGAGGCAGCAGUGGGGAAUUUUGGACAAUGGGCGAAAGCCUGAUACAGCAAUGCCGCGUGUGUGAAGAAGGCCUUCGGGUUGUAAAGCACUUUUGUCCGGAAAGAAAGCCUUGGCCCUAAUACGGUCGGGGGAUGACGGUACCGGAAGAAUAAGCACCGGCUAACUACGUG
rnacentral:rRNA from 1 species